CCGAGCCGGAUGAGGCGAAAGUCUCACGUCCGGUUCCGAGGGGGGGUUGGGCUCAGUGAUGGGCCCCGCCUACCCGAC
rnacentral:ncRNA from 1 species